AGGACGAAGAAAGAGCCGCUCUUGCGAGUUUUCUGCUGAUUUUGUUGACAGUCAUGGGAGUUGCUGGGAUUUUGGCUUUUAUCAAUGAGGCAUGUCGAGUGAUGCUCGCUGAUGGACGACUGAACGGUAAAAUGAAGAUCCUCCUUGAAGGAACUAACUAUUCGGUAUGUACGAUUGCAGAAUCAUCACAUUGUAUACUUUUAUCAAAUUGUCCAACUUAAAUGCAAUAAAUCUAUAUACUGUCCUCCUAUAGUUCAUGCAGUUAUUAUUAGCCUCUUUCUGUUGUUUUUCCUGCCAUCAUUAUUGUCGUUACUUUCAAUGUAAUCUUACUUUAAUGUAGCUGUGUAUUUCAGAAUGGUUUAGAAAUAUUUAUUUAUGGCUAAGUACAGAUCUAAACGUCUGCUCACAUUAAAACCAGACUGACUUCUCAUUUCAUAUGGCUGUGUUUAAAAGGUUAAUCAUGUUAGAUGUUGGCAGCUCUUUGUUUUGCACUAAUUUAAAUUAAGUAAAGGAAAAUUUAAUGUAUACAUAGUUCAUACGUGAACUCUCAAAGUCAGUACAACUGAUAGAAACAGGUACUUUGUGGGAUUGAUUGUCACGCAAAUGACACUGUAUCAAUUGCUGCGGAUGUGUGCCGUUGAUCGAGAUGAGAAGGCAAUAACGGAUUAUGAGUAGGUAAUUAGUUUAAAUGUUGUUGUCAUGGCCUUGUUGAAAGACAGA